rnacentral:misc_RNA from 1 species
GUGAAUCAUCGAAUCUUUGAACGCAAAUUGCACUCUCCGGUUUUCCGGGAGAGUAUGCCUGUUUGAGGGUCAGCCUAAAUAAAUUCGGCUUCGUUGCUGUGUUUCGCGGUAACGUUUUGUCGGAAUUUGGGUCAUCUUAAGCCGAAAGGUUUUUAAGCGACUUAAAAUUUUUUUACGAUCCCACGAACGUUUCUAAGAUCUUCUUACACGUUCAAGGUAUCGAAUAACCCUAUUAGACGUGGCCGUCGUAUCGGAUCGCGUCCAUAAUAUUUAUUCUUUAUUAACUGACCUCAGACAGGU